AGACAAAAGCUUUGCAGCCUAUUAAUCAACUAAUUUCUGAAACACAUAUAUAUAUAUAUUCUAACAAUCCGAAUCAGUAUAAUCCACCAUACCUUAACCCCAAAUAGCAUUGAAAUUAAGAUUUAAGCCUAUUCCCUACGUACUCCGUGCCAAGGAAAGCAUAGCAUCCUAUGCCUGUACCAGUCCCACGAACCAAAGCGAACUACGAAAUAGGUAACAUUGGUCCAAAUCUUCAUGUUAGGCCUACGUCCUGUAGCAAACAUGAUAUGUGAGAAGCCUUCAACAGUUCCUUUGUUGGUCUACAGUGACAAGGAACCAUCUGCUGCUUUGAUAAUAGCCUGGGGUGGCUCCUUGGUGCGGAACUUGAUUCCUCUUAGAGACAUUUGUUCUGCAAAAUCACUGAUCUCUUCAUCAAAGCCCCUU
rnacentral:misc_RNA from 1 species